CCAAGUCAGGUGGGACCACCCGC
rnacentral:rRNA from 1 species